UGGGGAAUAUUGGACAAUGGGCGCAAGCCUGAUCCAGCCAUGCCGCGUGAGUGAUGAAGGCCUUAGGGUUGUAAAGCUCUUUCACCGGAGAAGAUAAUGACGGUAUCCGGAGAAGAAGCCCCGGCUAACUUCGUGCCAGCAGCCGCGGUAAU
rnacentral:rRNA from 1 species